rnacentral:sRNA from 1 species
CACCACUGCAAGAGGGGAAGUUGCUACUGUGAUGAAUUCUGCCAUGUGGCACCAGACUGCCACCCAGACCACAGUGUCCUCUGCAACCCUGGUCAAAGGUGCCUACAUGCUCCUUCUAGCUUUGUUUCCCUGAUGUUCCUUGCCACCUGCUACUCCUCUCUGAGCUACUUUUCCAGCUUCUCAGAUGACCAAGAUGGUGCUGCAGAUGGUGCUGAGGAUGGAGAACCCACCAAGCCCCGCUAGGAGCCACCUAGACUGGAUGCAGAGCAUGGCCCCAGCACCCGCAGAGCAGACACUGCGAUGACAACGGACGACACAGAAGUGCCCGCUAUGACUCUAGCACCGGGCCACGCCGCUCUGGAAACUCAAACGCUGAGCGCUGAGACCUCUUCUAGGGCCUCAACCCCAGCCGGCCCCAUUCCAGAAGCAGAGACCAGGGGAGCCAAGAGAAUUUCCCCUGCAAGAGAG